rnacentral:lncRNA from 1 species
CUCCCCUUUGCAGGUCCAGCCCAUCUUCUGUUUCACCUGGAGUAGGUGGAAAAAUACCACAGUAAUGGGCAUGUGGGUUUCAGGUCAGAUAGGUUCUAAUUAUUCCUUUGUAGUGUUUGCUCACAAGUAGGGAACAGGUGUAUUAUUCAUCUUGCUGGAAGCAAGGAGUUUCCUCCAGAGACUUUCCAGCUCCGGGCUCCCCUCGGGAUCCCAGCUUUCCUGGGCUAAAGGAGGGCUCUGCACAUUUUGUCUCACCUGCCCAGGUGAUGUUCUCUUUGCCUGAGGUCCCUCAGUCCAAUCCCUGCCUCAUUUGGGUGCUAGCAGGGAUUUAGUGCAGUGCUGCUGUUUGAAGCUUCAUAGCUUGGACUUCACUCUUAAUCCUUGCCUCGUAUUUCAUGUGUUUUCCACCUGCAUGCUGAGCUGGGAGAAAUGAACUUCCUGGUGCUUUUUUCCAGCAGGGCUCUUGCCUGAACAGUUCUUGGUUUGUCUUGCACCAAUUACCAGCUUCCAGUGGAAUUCUGUUGGCUGCUUGCAAGGAAAGGAAGGAAAACAUUCUCCACUCAGUUCCUCACACCUUCUGAAAAGAUGGAAGAGGCUGACAGUGUGCUACGAGGAGGUCAAAGCUGGGAAUCCACAGAUGGAGGGUGCAAAACAUAGCCAAAACCCCAGCAAGUUUCUGGCUCACAAUGGAUUGUGAAUAGAAGGAAUAAACAAUAAAGAGAAUCCUUAAAAACCCUCCA